GAGCUUGCUCCUCUGACGUUAGCGGCGGACGGGUGAGUAACACGUGGAUAACCUACCUAUAAGACUGGGAUAACUUCGGGAAACCGGAGCUAAUACCGGAUAAUAUAUUGAACCGCAUGGUUCAAUAGUGAAAGACGGUUUUGCUGUCACUUAUAGAUGGAUCCGCGCCGCAUUAGCUAGUUGGUAAGGUAACGGCUUACCAAGGCAACGAUGCGUAGCCGACCUGAGAGGGUGAUCGGCCACACUGGAACUGAGACACGGUCCAGACUCCUACGGGAGGCAGCAGUAGGGAAUCUUCCGCAAUGGGCGAAAGCCUGACGGAGCAACGCCGCGUGAGUGAUGAAGGUCUUCGGAUCGUAAAACUCUGUUAUUAGGGAAGAACAAAUGUGUAAGUAACUAUGCACGUCUUGACGGUACCUAAUCAGAAAGCCACGGCUAACUACGUGCCAGCAGCCGCGGUAAUACGUAGGUGGCAAGCGUUAUCCGGAAUUAUUGGGCGUAAAGCGCGCGUAGGCGGUUUUUUAAGUCUGAUGUGAAAGCCCACGGCUCAACCGUGGAGGGUCAUUGGAAACUGGAAAACUUGAGUGCAGAAGAGGAAAGUGGAAUUCCAUGUGUAGCGGUGAAAUGCGCAGAGAUAUGGAGGAACACCAGUGGCGAA
rnacentral:rRNA from 1 species